GGGAAGGUGGCUCAAUGGUAGAGUGCUUGCCUUGCAUGCAUGAGGCCCUGGGUUCGAUUCCUUACUACCACA
rfam:Dipodomys ordii contig_17068, whole genome shotgun sequence.